rnacentral:rRNA from 1 species
AAUCAACGCUGGCGGCGUGCCUAACACAUGCAAGUCGCACGAGAAAGGGACUUCGGUCCUGAGUACAGUGGCGCACGGGUGAGUAACACGUGAAUAAUCUAACCUCCGAGUGGGGAAUAACUGAGAGAAAUCUUAGCUAAUACCGCAUAACACUUACGAGUCAAAGCAGCAAUGCGCUUGGAGAGGAGUUCGCGGCAGAUUAGUUAGUUGGCAGGGAAUGGCCUACCAAGACGAUGAUCUGUAUCCGGCCUGAGAGGGCGCACGGACACACUGGGACUGAAACACGGUCCAGACUCCUACGGGAGGCAGCAGU